UACAGAGGUGGCAAGCGUUGUUCGGAAUUACUGGGCGUAAAGGGCGCGUAGGCGGCUUGGUCAGUCCCGUGUGAAAUCCCUCGGCUCAACUGAGGAACUGCACGGGAAACUGCCUGGCUUGAGUUCGGGAGAGGGAAGCGGAAUUCCGGGUGUAGCGGUGAAAUUCGUAGAUAUUCGCAAGAACACCAGUGGCGAAGGCGGCUCACUGGCCCGAUACUGACGCUGAGGUGCGAAAGCGUGGGGAGCAAACAGG
rnacentral:rRNA from 1 species